UACGAGCUUCACUACUACGCCACCGGGCCAGGAAAUCCCCUUUAUUUUUUUAGCCAAUUUGUGUUGGAUUUUGUGUUGCUUAGAACCAAAAUCGUCCUAAAUGAUAAAUUCAGUUGUUAUAAAUCUUUCAAAAGUGAAUUGUCAUAGACCCUCUGGAGCAUUAUUAUUUAUGAGAAAUGACUACAAAGCAGUUAACUUUCAUUUUAAUAGACAGAUCAUAAGUUCUGAGUCCAAAUGGGUUUUGCCAUUCUUUCAAAAACUUCUGGGAGGCUAUUCCAAAGAGUAUUGCCACAACUCAAAAUAUCUUUGGACUCUGUUUUGUUUUAAAUUGCUUUUAAAAUCUGAGUUACAUGUUUUGAAUUCCCUCAAAGAUGACAAAUUGUGACCUUUUGUUGGUGGAUUUGGUAUUGGAAAUAGAUAAAAACUAGUUGGAAUUGAGUCUAACAAAUGCCUUUUUAGGUUAAAACUUGUUUCACAGAAGUCCAGUGUAAUCUGGAGCCUGAGCAUGGAAAAGAAAGCAGAGUCUGUCCUUUUGGAGUAAAAAGCAUCUCUUGGAUGCCUCUUGGGGAGUCCUUGAGGAGCAGCUGCUCCUGGUGGCCAGUUACUACAGGGAGAACAGCCCAACACAGCUCUGCCACAGGCCACACCAUUGUUCCUGUUUAGGUCCAUUCCUUCAGUUUGCAGAUAAUAGAGGGCAUCACGUUGCCUGGGUCUUCUCCCUCCUCUGUAAACAUCCCCAGUUCAGUCCGUCCUUCCUGGCUUGGCAUGGUUUCCUGACCCUUCACAUCCAGCUCGCUGUCCUCCUGAUGCAGGUGGAGAGAGCAAUCGAGCCUGGAUUACCACCUGGCGGAAGGCGUCAUCCACCCCCACCACAGGGGCAGGAACACUACUGCCUGUGAAGAAUCCACCUGCUUGCUGGAGGAGGAGGAAAUCAGGCUUUCCUUGGCCUCUGGCUUCCUGAGUGACUUCGGACUCUCCUCCCGAUGGCUCUGUUUGCUGAUCUCUUUGCAAAGCAGUGAACCAGGAAGUGUUUGUGUGUUUUCAGAUGUAAAACAUGCAAUGGCAGGGUCAAAAUGUGGUUGCUUAUAAAAUUUUACGCUCAUUUUGGGAUCCACAGACUCAUAGACUUUUAGAGCAAAAGGGGACCUUUCAACCAGCUAGCUGACCAAAUCAGGUAAACUGAGGCAGAGAGUAAUUUGCCUAAAGUCUUGCUGCUGGUUCCCUGGCUUCUCCCAGUGCCUUGGGAAAAUGAACUGUAGCAUCCCACCCACUCGCACCCUUCAAGCCAGCCUGAGCAACUCACCUUAGAGAUAUUACUAAAAUUUUUUAUAUUACUUUAUUUUAAAAUAGUAAUAAAAUUUUAAUAAGUAUUAUAUGCAAAACAUGAAAUAAUGUGAGUUUCCAAAAGGUUUAAAAAUUCUUCGCAAAUUGCAUAAUCUGAAAUCUGGUCCUACAAGUGAAUUGUAAACUGUUUAUGCUUUGCCACAUGGUUAAUACAACUUUAGCUGGUAAACAGAAACUACUACCA